GGAAACCGUUUUGAUGUUAUUCAGAUGUUAGCCAUCUCCAUCCUAUUCACCUGUUUUAUUACUGUUUGUGUGAACCAUGAAGAACUUCCUUACUAAUACAGGUACAACACAGAAGAACUGAAGCAUCAGAAGGUAUUUAUCGUAUUCCUCAAGGUGUGUUUGUGAACAUGAAUAUAUAGAUGUGUGUACACGUAACUCUAUGUAUGAGCACAAUCACAACUUGUUUUAUUACUGAUGCACCAAAAGAAUUUAGAACUAUUCGGAGCACAAUCAGUCCUCAGACCACAAACCCUGGAUGGACUUCCCACAAAUGCUCAGGUAAACAGAGAAAGUAGAGGCAUGAAAACACCCAUUACCAAGAAAAAAUUGAGCAUGUGUUCCCAGCUGGAGAGUGAAUGGAACCAUAGUCAACAAGAAAGAAAUAUGCGCCCGCAAGUUAUUCUCCAAGGCAGUGCUGUAAAUGAGAGUGUCCAGGGAUGGCUUGCCUAUAGUAAUCUCAAUUGGCC
ensembl:lncRNA